rnacentral:rRNA from 1 species
ACAUGCUUAUAGCACAACGUUAAUGCACUAGAUCCCAUUAGAACUUUGUAGUUAAGCGCGCUCAGGCUAGAGUAGUACUGGGAUGGGUGAUCGCCCAAGAAGUCCUAGUGUUUUACAUGUC